rnacentral:sRNA from 1 species
AGUAGGAUAGAUAGAAGAGAGAAAACAAAGACACAGGUUCGUUUCUUCUACCCUCUCUCUCUGCCUCUUUUCUGCUCGUUUA